rnacentral:lncRNA from 1 species
UAUUCUUGUACAGAUGACUUAGCCGAAAGAGAGAGAAGAUGAAUGGCUUCCAAAGAUUGUGAUCUCACAAUAGGCAGAGGCUGGUGAUUAACAAAGGACAACAAGUUUCAGAGCCACGCCUGUGCCCCUACCCCACAUAGACCUCACCAUGAGCCCCUACCCCACAGAGACCUCACCACGAAGAGGCAAAGGAGUGGGAUUUCCUUAGAAGGAUCUUGUAUGUUUGUUUCAGUUACACUGUGGAAGUCCUUGACAGAUGAGGAGAAUAUUGAAGCCGCCUAAGAAGGUCACAGCUGGAAGGCUUGAGCUGCUUUGCUGAGGCGUAGUGGGCCCUGCUGAACAAGGAGAAAGCAGCUGGAUGAAUUUCAGUGGAAGCCGACUUGAACUUCCGCUACCAGCCAGUGGCCCCAGCUCACAUUGUGUCUGGAACCGGUGAGUUCUUGGUCUCGCUGACUUCAAGAAUGAAGCUACAGACCCUCUCGGGCAGUCACCCUGACAAAUGGUCAAGGUGCCUCUGGAGAAGGCUUGAGAGAAGAAGCCAUAUACAGAGUCAUAUCUCAGUUGAGCCUCCAAGCCAAAGGCUUUAUAUCUAGAAACUGGACUUUCCAACCCCCAGAACUGAAUGAUCAUGUUCCUCGAAUAGGGAUUGAAGAUGCCUCUAUCCCGGAAAAGAGAUUAUACCUCUGUAUGGAUGCUCGCCAAGCAAAGCACAUCUGUGAACAAAGAACUUAGUGGGAAAAAAACUUAAUGCAAGGCAACCUAAAGGUCACCGCUAAUGCAAAUACUGAAAAAAAAAAGCCUUACUCACAGAUAAUUGUUAUUCCCUGGAUCUAGAACUAAUAUUGGAAAGUAUUUUGUCAAGGGUAUGUUUCCUUGAAAUACGAUAAUGAGAGCAAUUAUAUUUGCUUUCC